AUUGAACGCUGGCGGCAUGCCUUACACAUGCAAGUCGAACGGCAGCACGGGAGCAAUCCUGGUGGCGAGUGGCGAACGGGUGAGUAAUAUAUCGGAACGUGCCCAGUCGUGGGGGAUAACGUAGCGAAGGCUACGCUAAUACCGCAUACGAUCUAUGGAUGAAAGCGGGGGAUCGCAAGACCUCGCGCGAUUGGAGCGGCCGAUAUCAGAUUAGGUAGUUGGUGAGGUAAAGGCUCACCAAGCCGAAGAUCUGUAGCUGGUCUGAGAGGACGACCAGCCACACUGGGACUGAGACACGGCCCAGACUCCUACGGGAGGCAGCAGUGGGGAAUUUUGGACAAUGGGCGCAAGCCUGAUCCAGCAAUGCCGCGUGCAGGAUGAAGGCCUUCGGGUUGUAAACUGCUUUUGUACGGAACGAAACGGUGAGCUCUAAUACAGUUUGCUAAUGACGGUACUGUAAGAAUAAGCACCGGCUAACUACGUGCCAGCCGCCGCAGUAA
rnacentral:rRNA from 1 species